AGUGAACGCUGGCGGUAGGCCUAACACAUACAAGUCGAACGGCAGCACAGUAAGAGCUUGCUCUUACGGGUGGCGAGUGGCGGACGGGUGAGGAAUACAUCGGAAUCUACUUUUUCGUGGGGGAUAACGUAGGGAAACUUACGCUAAUACCGCAUACGACCUACGGGUGAAAGCAGGGGAUCUUCGGACCUUGCGCGAUUGAAUGAGCCGAUGUCGGAUUAGCUAGUUGGCGGGGUAAAGGCCCACCAAGGCGACGAUCCGUAGCUGGUCUGAGAGGAUGAUCAGCCACACUGGAACUGAGACACGGUCCAGACUCCUACGGGAGGCAGCAGUGGGGAAUAUUGGACAAAGGGCGCAAGCCUGAUCCAGCCAUACCGCGUGGGUGAAGAAGGCCUUCGGGUUGUAAAGCCCUUUUGUUGGGAAAGAAAAGCAGCAGGUUAAUACCCCGCUGUUCUGACGGUACCCAAAGAAUAAGCAUCGGCUAACUUCGUG
rnacentral:rRNA from 1 species